CCUCGAGCUGGCGAGUUCCUUCCCCUCCUCCUGUGUUUUUCUCCCUCCCUCUCUCUCUUUCUCUCUCUUUUUUCUGAACUGUGUUGGCCAACACGCACUCUUUCUCUCUGUCUGUGUCCUUGCCUCUCCCUGUGUUUUCUCCUUUUAUAGGACACGGGUAGGUGUGGAUCCCCACAGGCUACGUCUUGGGAGCCAGGAAGAAGUAGGAGGGGAUGAAAAUCAUGUGGGGUAGUGGGUGCGAGAGUGGAGGCAGGUAUUGUAAAAUAUCUAGCACGGUAGCAUGUUGGACAGUGAUGGCUCUUCCAUAGGUGGUUUGCUGUUCUUGCAGAGGCCCGCUCAAGGCCAAUGGAGCCACCCCAGACAGAGGAGAAGCAUCUGGAGGAGCCAGACCUGCACAAUCUAGAUGUUUUUCACUUGGCAGUGGAGCUAAGGAGUGCUCUCGUGAUAUUCGAGGAGCAGUACCAAGGGAAAAGAAGUGGAGGGUCAAAGUCUGCUCCUCUCAUGCGAUGGAAAGAAAGUAAGAGCGGGGAGACAGCGAACAUUACUGAUGCCAGGCAAGAGCCGUCCAGCUUGGAGCCGAGCAGCCGUCAUCGUCAGUGAGAGAAGUGUCUUGUUAGCUGCGCUGGUACAGGAAUUGUCCAGGAACCCUACCCGGAGGAGAGACUCUCAGAAGUGAACCUGAUCAGCCUGAACAUCCUUCUAAGCAGACAUGAACAGUCCUCAGCUUUCUGCCUCCUGCAUAAAUGGCUGAAAAGAAGUCAUGUGCCAGUCUACUGCCCUCAUGCGAUGGAAAGCGAGCGAGAGCGAUGAGACCGUGAGCAUGGUUGAUGCCACGCAAAAGCCGUCCAUCUGGCAGCAGAAGAGCCAUCACUUUUGCAGAGGAAUCAUCCAGGAGCCCUCGCCGGACGAGAAGAUGCAGAAGUGGACCUCAGCAGCCUGGACAUCCUUUUAAGGAGACAUGAAUAUUCCUCAUCUUUCUGCCUUUUGCAUAACUGCCUGUGAG